AGUGAACGCUGGCGGUAGACCUAACACAUGCAAGUCGAACGGCAGCACAGUAAGAGCUUGCUCUUACGGGUGGCGAGUGGCGGACGGGUGAGGAAUACAUCGGAAUCUACUUUUUCGUGGGGGAUAACGUAGGGAAACUUACGCUAAUACCGCAUACGACCUACGGGUGAAAGCAGGGGAUCUUCGGACCUUGCGCGAUUGAAUGAGCCGAUGUCGGAUUAGCUAGUUGGCGGGGCAAAGGCCCACCAAGGCGACGAUCCGUAGCUGGUCUGAGAGGAUGAUCAGCCACACUGGAACUGAGACACGGUCCAGACUCCUACGGGAGGCAGCAGUGGGGAAUAUUGGACAAUGGGCGCAAGCCUGAUCCAGCCAUACCGCGUGGGUGAAGAAGGCCUUCGGGUUGUAAAGCCCUUUUGUUGGGAAAGAAAAGCAGCAGGUUAAUACCCCGCUGUUCUGACGGUACCCAAAGAAUAAGCACCGGCUAACUUCGUG
rnacentral:rRNA from 1 species